GGCAUCUUUCUGAGAUGAAAAUGGAUUAAUUAACCUGAUUUUGUUCCAGCAAGUACAAAAGAAGAUCCAAUAUACUAAUUCUACUAUGAAAUAACCACAAAAUUUUCUAACCCAGCAGACUGGUUUCUUCAAUAAUGUCAACCUUGUAAAAAAUCCUCUCUGCAGCUUAGUCCUUCUUUGCACAUGUUCUGAUUGAUAGUCUUAUAAUUUUCCAGACAAAUAAUGGAAUUACUGUAUUUUUUUUUUCUUUAGUGGCUCUGUUGAAUCUUAAUGGGACCUUAAUGGCAAGGCACUAGCCUUUGAAGACCAGCGCCUAAGAAAAACCCCUUCAAUCUAGUAUGCAAGCUACUAAGUCAACUGGGAAAAGUUACCUUCACUGAAGCUCCCAUCACAAAAAGAAAUCUGAUGCUGUUUCCUCACUCAUUCACUGAUUCACAUCUCAUCAGCUCCCAGAAAUUCUCAGAACCUUCUAACAGCAAGCUGCACGAUACUCCUUCAAAGUACACUCACACUCCUUGCUGCAAACUUGAGUCCACACCAAACAGCAGUGAAGUGACAGGUCCUUCAUAG
rnacentral:lncRNA from 1 species